AAUCAACUCAGACAGCGUGUCGCGUAUUUGAUUUGAAACUUAAACUAAAGCUAACCAACUGUUGGCAGUAAAAAGUCUCAAGUCAAACAAAACAUAACAAAACAGUUCAUCCAUUAAAGCCAAGCUAAUAACAAUAAAAAAAACUGUAGCAACAACAACAUGGAAUAUUGAAUGAAUUCAACGUAUGCACAUAUAUUAACUUGGAGAACUUUUGCGUCGGAAAACUCAUUGGGAAACUCAUCGGGAAACUCCACGUCCAACUCAUGCCCAAGGGAAAGAUGGCCAACAAGUUGUCAGAAGCAUCUGGCCAAAUGGAAGCAACUGCAAUAAAGAGUUAAUACGUAUGAGAAUAUGAGAAAAGUCAACUUCCAUUAACAAGCACAAAAAAGUAACAAAUUUAACAAGCAACCAGAGAGAGAGAGAGAGAGAGAGAGGCAGAGCAAGUGCGAGUGAAAGAGAGCGAUGUAUACCGAGUUCAGCUUAAAGCAGCUCAAGGAGAGGGAGACGGAGGAGACGG